CCUACGGUGCGCAGCAGUAGGGAAUAUUGCUCAAUGGGGGAAACCCUGAAGCAGCAACGCCGCGUGGGGGAUGAAUGUUUUCGGAUUGUAAACUCCCUUUGUUAGAGAAGCUAAUGACGGUAUCUUACGAAUAAGCACCUGCUAACUCCGUGCCAGUAGCCUCGGUAAUUCGGAGGGUGCAAGCGUUACUCGGAAUCACUGGGCGUAAAGGGCGCGUAGGCGGGAUAGCAAGUCAGAUGUGAAAUCCUAUGGCUUAAACAUAAAACUGCAUUUGAAACUGGUGUUCUAGAGUGUGGGAGAGGUAGGUGGAAUUCUUGGUGUAGGGGUAAAAUCCGUAGAGAUCAAGAAGAAUACUCAUUGCGAAGGCGACCUGCUAGAGCAUAACUGACGCUGAUGCGCGAAAGCGUGGGGAGCGAACAGGAUUAGAUACCCGUGUAGUC
rnacentral:rRNA from 1 species